GUGGUUUGGCCAAGUGGUUAAGGUGUGCGCCGUUUCCCCGCAGUCAGAGUUCGAAUCUCUCAAGCCACA
rnacentral:sRNA from 1 species